UACGGAGGAUGCAAGCGUUAUCCGGAAUGAUUGGGCGUAAAGCGUCCGCAGGUGGCAAUGUAAGUCUGCUGUCAAAGCGUCUGGCUCAACCAGAUAAAGGCAGUGGAAACUACAUAGCUAGAGUAAGGUAGGGGUAGAGGGAAUUCCUGGUGUAGCGGUGAAAUGCGUAGAGAUCAGGAAGAACACCGGUGGCGAAAGCGCUCUGCUGGACCGCAACUGACACUCAGGGACGAAAGCUAGGGGAGCGAAUGGG
rnacentral:rRNA from 1 species